CUUGGUCAUUUAGAGGAAGUAAAAGUCGUAACAAGGUCUCCGUAGGUGAACCUGCGGAGGGAUCAUUAAUGAGAACUUGCCCUUACGGGUAGAUCUCCCCCCCUUUGUAUAUCAUACCUUUGUUGCUUUGUCGGGCCCGUCCCUCGGGACCGCCGGCUUCGGCUGGCCAGCGCCUGGCAGAGGAUUCAAACUCUUGUAUCACUGUCGUCAGAGUACUAUAUCAAUAGUUAAAACUUUCAACAACGGAUCUCUUGGUUCUGGCAUCGAUGAAGAACGCAGCGAAAUGCGAUAAGUAAUGUGAAUUGCAGAAUUCAGUGAAUCAUCGAAUCUUUGAACGCCCAUUGCGCCCCUUGGUAUUCCGGGGGGCAUGCCUGUUCGAGCGUCAUUACAACCCUCAAGCACAGCUUGGUAUUGGGCUUCGCCGCUAACCCGGCGGGCCUUAAAAUCAGUGGCGGUGCCGUCGAGGCCCUGAGCGUAGUAAAUAUCCUCGCUUCUGGGACCCGGCGGUCGCUUGCCAGCAACCCCCAACUUUCUAAGUUUGACCUCGGAUCAGGUAGGGAUACCCGCUGAACUUAAGCAUAUCAAUAAGCGGAGGAA
rnacentral:rRNA from 1 species